AGUGAACGCUGGCGGUAGGCCUAACACAUGCAAGUCGAACGGCAGCACAGAGGAGCUUGCUCCUUGGGUGGCGAGUGGCGGACGGGUGAGGAAUACAUCGGAAUCUACUCUGUCGUGGGGGAUAACGUAGGGAAACUUACGCUAAUACCGCAUACGACCUACGGGUGAAAGCAGGGGGUCUUCGGACCUUGCGCGAUUGAAUGAGCCGAUGUCGGAUUAGCUAGUUGGCGGGGUAAAGGCCCACCAAGGCGACGAUCCGUAGCUGGUCUGCGAGGAUGAUCAGCCACACUGGAACUGAGACACGGUCCAGAGUACUACGGGGGGCAGCAGUGGGGAAGAUUGGACAAUGGGCGCAAGCCUGAUCCAGCCAUACCGCGUGGGUGAAGAAGGCCUUCGGGUUGUAAAGCCCUUUUGUUGGGAAAGAAAUCCAUCUGGUUAAUACCCGGGUGGGAUGACGGUACCCAAAGAAUAAGCACCGGCUAACUUCGUGCCAGCCGCCGCAGUAA
rnacentral:rRNA from 1 species